rnacentral:rRNA from 1 species
AGAUUGAACGCUGGCGGCAGGCCUAACACAUGCAAGUCGAGCGGUAGAGAGGUGCUUGCACCUCUUGAGAGCGGCGGACGGGUGAGUAAUGCCUAGGAAUCUGCCUAGUGGUGGGGGAUAACGUUCGGAAACGGACGCUAAUACCGCAUACGUCCUACGGGAGAAAGCGGGGGACCUUCGGGCCUCGCGCCAUUAGAUGAGCCUAGGUCGGAUUAGCUAGUUGGUGAGGUAAUGGCUCACCAAGGCGACGAUCCGUAACUGGUCUGAGAGGAUGAUCGGUCACACUGGAACUGAGACACGGUCCAGACUCCUACGGGAGCAGCAGUGGGAAUAUUGGACAAGUGGGCAAAGCCUGACUCCAGCCAGUGCCGCGUGUGUGAAGUAGGUCUUCGGAUU